rnacentral:rRNA from 1 species
GACGAACGCUGGCGGCGUGCCUAAUACAUGCAAGUAGAACGCACAGUUUAUACCGUAGCUUGCUACACCAUAGACUGUGAGUUGCGAACGGGUGAGUAACGCGUAGGUAACCUGCCUGGUAGCGGGGGAUAACUAUUGGAAACGAUAGCUAAUGCCGCAUAAUAUUGAUUAUUGCAUGAUAAUUGAUUGAAAGAUGCUAUUGCAUCACUACCAGAUGGACCUGCGUUGUAUUAGCUAGUAGGUGAGGUAACGGCUCACCUAGGCGACGAUACAUAGCCGACCUGAGAGGGUGAUCGGCCACACUGGGACUGAGACAGGGCCCAGACUCCUACGGGAGGCAGCAGUAGGGAAUCUUCGGCAAUGGACGAAAGUCUGACCGAGCAACGCCGCGUGAGUGAAGAAGGUUUUCGGAUCGUAAAGCUCUGUUGUAAGAGAAGAACGGGUGUGAGAGUGGAAAGUUCACACUGUGACGGUAUCUUACCAGAAAGGGACGGCUAACUACGUG